UAGGGAAUCUUCGGCAAUGGACGAAAGUCUGACCGAGCAACGCCGCGUGAGUGAAGAAGGUUUUCGGAUCGUAAAGCUCUGUUGUUAGAGAAGAACAAGGGUGAGAGUAACUGUUCACCCCUUGACGGUAUCUAACCAGAAAGCCACGGCUAACUACGUGCCAG
rnacentral:rRNA from 1 species